UACUUUUUCAGGAUUCUUCGAGAAAUAAAAAGUUAAAAACAACAGCACUUAUUUAAAAUAGAAAUCUUAUAUAACAGAAAUAAUAACGACAGUGCACUUGGUGUCAAUCUAAUCUUCAGGUGAGAGUUGAAUGGCGCUUCGUGUCUCGCGAGAUUUUAAUUAGGUUUCCUCUGUUUCAAGGCAUGCGAUUGGCUGUUAGGUGCUGAUGUCGCUUUACUGUGGCGCUGCAAGAACAACACCUAUUCAACUGAGAAAAUUGAUCAGCGUCGUGAUACGAGCGAAGUUUGAAUGGUUUGGUUUGAUAAACUUGAAACGAAAUCCCGCAACCUUGAGUUUGUUAAACUGUUAUCACUGAACAGGCCUUUUUGUGAUUCACGAAAUGCGUGUUAAUACCAGCUGGAAACGAGGCCUGCGCUUGUGCUGUUGCCAGGGUCGUCGUCUCGAAGUUAAUACAGGCUUGAGUCCUGAUUCACAGCGGAUGUCUGAUGGCAAGUUGGAUAUAUUGCUUCUCCACACAAAUCCACUUUUCCUUAAUUCUGCUGCACCAGCUGUGGAAACCUGACCUGGUGAGGACCCUCCUUUCCAUCCUCAACCAUUGAACCUCUUAUCACACUCUGACGAGGACAAACCAACCUGUGAUCUAGACUCCUAGAUCCACCCCUGGUCCACGAUCAUUCCCACACCUGUCUCUCAUCACAGUCCAUCACCAGUGUCUGCACCCUGCCUACUGCUAAUAUUAUGGAUUUCUGUUCUGGAUAUGAGAUAUGCCAUUCACAACAAUCUCUACAUAAUAUCAAGCUCAAAUAAUUUAGUCCUGCCUAACAGUUUUCCUGAUUUGUUACUGUUCACAAUGUAGCACAGUCUCGCCUACCUUUGUGCAUUCAGUUGUUAAAAUAUGUCCUUAUUAUUUGAUUGUAUCUCAAGUUUAUUAUUUAAAAGCAAAUUCACAAUCUUUCUCGAGAAGAGAUAAUAGGUGUGUUUGACUUGAAGCAGUGCUGUGCAGACCGAUCGAAGUAUGACAUCAAAGUACCACGAGAGCAAUAAGACUGUAAGACAGCUUCUUAUGCUUUUGAAUUACUCUCACGAUACUUUGUCAUACUUUAAGCAGUGCUGUGCAGACCAAUUGAAGUUGAACACGUCUAAAGUGUAAACUCUCACUUGUCAGCUAUGGGACUUCCUGCAGUAAUAUGAUGAGCAGGUGUUCAGUGUCAUCAUCUUACUUUAUUGAAAUGCUAUAUUGAACUGGAUUCAGGUUUAAAACUGUUUAACUGGGAAAGAAGAAAUUAUGUGUCAUUAAUGUUGUGAGGCUGCAUAACAUCUGGUCAGAUGAAUGUUUGUGUAGUCUGUUUCCUCCUGAGGUUUCUAUCUUGUAUAGUUAAAUAUCUAAAAAUGAGUGUCUUUGUAACCAUUCUCAAUAGAUACUGAAAGCUUUUUUUUUUUUUUGGCGCUUUUAAACAAAAUAUUAAAUGUAAUCUGUGAGGUAAGCCAUGGCUGGGUGUACAUUACAUAAUUUUAAUAUAUGCUGUGGAGGUAAAGAACUACAUGAACAGAAGCCAUGAAUCACCCCUUAAUUCUAAUGGUCAGGGGUGAUCAAUUCUGUUCAAAUUCAACACUGAUCCAACAGCCCUGUCUGUAAUUAACCAGUGCUCCUGAAGUUCAUAAAUAGCUGGUUCAGUAGUGUUUGAGAAGGAUUGGAGCUGAACUUUCCAGGAAGUUGUAUAGUUAUUUAGACAGGUAAGUGUUGAGUGUGAUUAAUUAUUGAGUAGUCUAUUGCUCCUAAUUAUUCUGUAGUUUAAUUAUAGGCAGGAUGUACAGUAAUUGCAUUAAAUACUGUAUAGACUAUAGAACAUUUGUCUAAAACUAGUGAAUUUAACAAAUAUCUCAAGUUUAACAUUUAGAUGUGUGUGCUUGACAGUCCAAGAAUAAUUUAUGCAUUAUGAUUUGAAACAUUAAGCACUAUUUUUUUAGAGUAAAUAGUACAGUAAUGUCAUUUACUUUGGAGUUACUUGCUCAGCAUCAAAUAUAUAUGUAUGUGUGUAUAUAUACAGUGUAUAUAUAUAGGUUUACAUUUAAUCGUUAAUUCCAAUCACCAAGCUUGUAAUGUUGAACACUUAAAACCUACAAGUAGUCAAGGAUCUUAUAUGCUCUCUACAAAAUAACUUGCAUACACGUUUAUCUCUUAUUACAGAAGAACCAAACUAACAGGGAUAGUUGGACAAACAUUUAAAAUUGCAUGAUGGAUUACGUGGUUAAAACCCUUUUUGUGUUUUUUGUCA